rnacentral:rRNA from 1 species
CUACGGGUCGCACCAGUGGGGAAUAUUGCGCAAUGGAGGCAACUCUGACGCAGCAAUUCCGCGUGGAUGAUGAAGGUUUUCGGAUUGUAAAGUCCUUUCAGCAGGGAAGAAGCAAGUGACGGUACCUGCAGAAGAAGCCACGGCUAAUUACGUGCCAGCAGCCGCGGUAAGACGUAAGUGGCAAGCGUUAUCCGGAUUUACUGGGCGUAAAGGGCGCGUAGGCGGCAAAUCAAGUCAGAGGUGAAAAGUCAGGGCUCAACCUUGGCCUUGCCUUUGAAACUGAUUAGCUAGAGUACAGGAGAGGAGGGUGGAACUACCAGUGUAGCGGUGAAAUGCGUAGAUAUUGGUAGGAACGCCGAUGACGAAGGUAGCUCUCUGGACUGAUACUGACGCUGAGGCGCGAAAGCUAGGGGAGCAAACAGGAUUAGAUACCCUGGUAGUC